ACGGGUGAGUAAUACAUCGGAACGUAUCCUGGAGUGGGGGAUAGCCCGGCGAAAGCCGGAUUAAUACCGCAUACGCUCUGAGGAGGAAAGCGGGGGACCUUCGGGCCUCGCGCUCAAGGGGCGGCCGAUGGCGGAUUAGGUAGUUGGUGGGGUAAAGGCCUACCAAGCCGACGAUCCGUAGCUGGUCUGAGAGGACGACCAGCCACACUGGGACUGAGACACGGCCCAGACUCCUACGGGAGGCAGCGGUGGGGAAUUUUGGACGAUGGGGGCAACCCUGAUCCAGCAAUGCCGCGUGUGUGAGGAAGGCCUUCGGGUUGUAAAGCACUUUUGUCCGGAAAGAAAUCAUCGGGGCCAAUACCCCUGGUGGAUGACGGUACCGGAAGAAUAAGCACCGGCUAACUACGUGCCAGCAGCCGCGGUAAUACGUAGGGUGCGAGCGUUAAUCGGAAUUACUGGGCGUAAAGCGUGCGCAGGCGGUGCUGUAAGACCGAUGUGAAAUCCCCGGGCUUAACCUGGGAACUGCAUUGGUGACUGCAGCGCUGGAGUAUGGCAGAGGGGGGUGGAAUUCCACGU
rnacentral:rRNA from 1 species